rnacentral:rRNA from 1 species
AACUAACGCUGGCGGCGUGCCUAACACAUGCAAGUCGUACGAGAAAGUUGGCUUCGGCCGAUGAGUAAAGUGGCGCACGGGUGAGUAAUGCGUGGAUAAUCUGCCCUUUAGUUGGGAAUAACGUACCGAAAGGUGCGCUAAUACCUGAUAAUACUGCAUAACUACUGUUGUGUAGUCAAAGAAGGCCUCUGCUUGCAAGCUUUUGCUGAAGGAUGAGUCCGCGUACCAUUAGCUAGUUGGUGGGGUAAUGGCCUACCAAGGUUAUGAUGGUUAGCUGGUCUGAGAGGAUGAUCAGCCACACUGGAACUGAAACACGGUCCAGACUCCUACGGGAGCAGCAGUGAGGAAUAUUGCGCAAUGGGGGCAACCCUGACGCAGCAACGCCGCGUGAGUGAGGAAGGUUUUCGGAUUGUAAAGCUCUGUCGAGCGGAAAGAAAUGCACGAUGGCUAAUAUCCAUCAUGCUUGACGGUACCGCG